UACGGAGGGUGCAAGCAUUAAUCGGAUUCACUGGGCGUAAAGGGCGCGUAGGCGGGAAGGAAAGUUAGAUGUGAAAGCCCGAGGCUCAACUUCGGAAUGGCAUCUAAAACUCCCUUUCUAGAGGAUGGGCGGAGAAAAUGGAAUUCCACAUGUAGCGGUGAAAUGCGUAGAGAUCCGGAAGAACACCGGUGGCGAAGGCGGCCUGCUGGGCAGUGGCUGACGCUGAGGUGCGAAAGCGUGGGGAGCAAACAGG
rnacentral:rRNA from 1 species